UUAAGAUCUCAUUAGGUUUUGGAGUCCUAUUUAAUAUAUUAUAAAUUUUAAAAAAUUAGUUGCAGUAUUUUUCUCUUUAAUGUGUGCUAAAUAUUACCUUUCUGCAGCAUAAACAAAAUUAAAAGUUGAUACCUCUUAUAUUUCUGGAAAGAGAGUGCGCUGGAAAACUGAAGUUUAGAAGCUAGCAAAACUCUUUAACAUCUUUUAGGAAACCUCUGAUGAAGAGAAUUGUUUAGAGGUCAUAAUGAUGUAUCUCUGGAAAGUUAUAAAAGUGAUAAAAAAUGGAAAAUAUACUAAAUAAUGAAAUGAAAUAUCAAUUCCCUGCAAAAUAUUCCGUGUAAACUCCAUGGCAUUGUUAAAUGAUAAUACAGUAAAACAAGCUAACUUCAAAAAUCAACAAAAGAAACAUCCGUUUGGUUUCAGCUUAAAAUCCAGUAGAAAGAAAUUAAAUCCCUUAUUGGGGCCUGCACUCUACGAUGUUCAUCAAAUUGUUGACAUCGGGAGACGAGUCGUUUAUCCCCAGAACUUUGGAUCCGCUCCGAAGAUUGAGUACAACGUCUAGUUUCAUAAAUUCUCUGUCCGCUGUGCAAAAAAAGAAAAUUAGUAUGA